rnacentral:ncRNA from 1 species
AGAACCUGCCUGUUGGACGGGGACAACAGUUGGAAACGACUGCUAAUCCCGGAUGAGCCGAGAGGUAAAAGAUUUAUCGCCAACAGAGGGGCUUGCGUCUGAUUAGCUAGUUGGUAGUGUAAGGGACUACCAAGGCGACGAUCAGUAGCUGGUCUGAGAGGAUGAUCAGCCACACUGGGACUGAGACACGGCCCAGACUCCU